rnacentral:rRNA from 1 species
GAUGAACGCUGGCGGCGUGCCUAAUACAUGCAAGUCGAGCGAACAGACGAGGAGCUUACUCCUCUGACGUUAGCGGCGGACGGGUGAGUAACACGUGGAUAACCUACCUAUAAGACUGGGAUAACUUCGGGAAACCGGAGCUAAUACCGGAUAACAUGUUGAACCGCAUGGCUCAACAGUGAAAGACGGUCUUGCUGUCACUUAUAGAUGGAUCCGCGUCGCAUUAGCUAGUUGGUAAGGUAACGGCUUACCAAGGCAACGAUGCGUAGCCGACCUGAGAGGGUGAUCGGCCACACUGGAACUGAGACACGGUCCAGACUCCUACGGGAGGCAGCAGUAGGGAAUCUUCCGCAAUGGGCGAAAGCCUGACGGAGCAACGCCGCGUGAGUGAAGAAGGUCUUCGGAUCGUAAAACUCUGUUAUUAGGGAAGAACAAAUGUGUAAGUAACUAUGCACGUCUUGACGGUACCUAAUCAGAAAGCCACGGCUAACUACGU